AAGAUUUGAUACAAAUACCGGCAUCCCAACUUGCCACAGCUACAAAUGCUGACAGAUACACACUCCCACCUAUAAUUAGUACUAUUCUUGGAAGUAUGCAUAUCUUUCAAAUUAUUCUGAGCACACCAACCUUCAAUACAGAAAGUAUGAGUUUCAAAGUAGUUAGAAUUUUAUCUCCUCCUGAAAGAGAAACGGCAACAACAUCUGAACAGUUUGCUUCUUCAUCCUCUUAUACAAUUUCUUCACAUAAUCAUACUCAACAAGCAAAAAGAAAUAGAGAAGAUCAACUAGAGUUAUAUUUAGAACAUACACCAUCAGAGCAAGAAAUGAGCAUCCCGGAUGUGACCUCUCCUUAUGCAAAUUCUCCUAAAUCUCCAGAAGAUACAGUCUCAACACCACCUGCCAAAAAUAUCUUCAAGUAAUGCAAUCCCACAAGGACAAAUUAGCAAUCUAUACAUAGAUACAGUUCUAAACUGAAGCUAUACAUAACUAACUAUGCUUUUUGUAUCAAUGUAGAAUUUUAUGUAUGUAUAAGGAAAUGAAUCUGCACAACUACAAACUAUUUUUUUGAGGUGCUUUUUGUUACUGGCACUUUGUAUAUGUCAAUCGCAAACUAUGCUUUUCAACUCCUUUUAACAAACUACUUCUCAUA